rnacentral:lncRNA from 1 species
GUAAACCCUCGGGCUGACGCAAUAGCCUGCAAACCACGCCAGCCAGGUAAACUGCACUCAACAAGUCAUGCACGACAAGCGCAACUAAGAAAUUAUUGGUAGAGGGAAUCGAGCUCGUGACCAAAGGCCUCUGAACUCAUCAACUCCACCAACUCGGCCACCCCAUGAGGGGCGGAUUCCAAAUCCUUUUUCAUUGUACAAUGGUCAGCUUAUAGGCGAUUGUAAGGUCAUUUUGGUUAUUUUUCAUUAUUUUAUUAGAUUAUUAAGUCUCAUUUUCAAAUCUUAUGGUGAUUGUGCUUUUGUGAUACCCGUCUUAAAAGUCAUUGUGUGCAGGCAAGGGUUUAGUGCAUUAAUAUUGAGGUUGAUUUAUGAGAAUUAGCACUUAGAUAUUCGUCUGGGUCCGACAGUCUGAGGCCUCUUGUUACAAACCUUGUUGACACCUCUAGUUAUGUUUCAAUCCAUGUGUUAGUCCUCAACUCCUUUGGACAAAGUUUCACGUGCUGAACUCGCAAAACUCAUUCCUGAGUCUUGGAUCAUAAGAUAUGAACAAACUCAUAAAUUUGCCAAGGAAUCUACUCCCAUACAGUCAACCAAGCAAGUAAUCAUACAUAUUAAACUCAAGAAAAGUUAAAUUCAUGUAGUUUGAAUCAGAGUAAAAAUUUCAUAAUUCUAUAAUUCGUUCUCAUAAUGAGGAUAUGUUUAUAACAAAGGCAAAAUUUAAAGCACUUUUAAUUACUGAAAGCAAUGUUUGGCCAUAGCAAUUUGACAUGGAGAUCGAACAUCAAUCUAAUAAAAUAAAUAAUCGAUACACGACUAACAAUAUUUUUGAAAGUGCUUUCCAUCACGAUAC